CAUUAAGUAACUUAAAGUAAAGUAUUGGUCUCUUAAACCAUAUUAUAGUAAAUAACAAAUACUCUUAAUGA
rnacentral:tRNA from 1 species